rnacentral:rRNA from 1 species
UACGUAGGGGGCGAGCGUUGUCCGGAUUUAUUGGGCGUAAAGAGCUCGUAGGCGGUUCGAUAAGUCGGACGUGAAAUCUCCACGCUCAACGUGGAGGGGCCGUUCGAUACUGUCGUGACUCGAGUCCGGUAGGGGAGUGUGGAAUUCCCGGUGUAGCGGUGAAAUGCGCAGAGAUCGGGAGGAACACCCGUAGCGAAGGCGGCACUCUGGGCCGGACUGACGCUGAGGAGCGAAAGCGUGGGGAGCAACAGG